GCUAAGCCAAUCCCACAAAUCUGUUCUCAGUUCGGAUCGCAGUCUGCAACUCGACUGCGUGAAGCUGGAAUCGCUAGUAAUCGCGGAUCACAUGCCGCGGUGAAUACGUUCCCGGGCCUUGUACACACCGCCCGUCACACCACGAGAGUUUGUAACACCCGAAGUCGGUGAGGUAACCUUUUGGAGCCAGCCGCCGAAGGUGGGACAGAUGAUUGGGGUGAAGUCGUAACAAGGUAGCCGUAUCGGAAGGUGCGGUGGAU
rnacentral:rRNA from 1 species